rnacentral:rRNA from 1 species
AUUGAACGCUGGCGGCAGGCUUAACACAUGCAAGUCGAACGACGAUUAUCUAGCUUGCUAGAUAUGAUUAGUGGCGGACGGGUGAGUAACAUUUAGGAAUCUGCCUAGUAGUGGGGGAUAGCUCGGGGAAACUCGAAUUAAUACCGCAUACGACCUACGGGUGAAAGGGGGCGCAAGCUCUUGCUAUUAGAUGAGCCUAAAUCAGAUUAGCUAGUUGGUGGGGUAAAGGCCCACCAAGGCGACGAUCUGUAACUGGUCUGAGAGGAUGAUCAGUCACACCGGAACUGAGACACGGUCCGGACUCCUACGGGAGGCAGCAGUGGGGAAUAUUGGACAAUGGGGGCAACCCUGAUCCAGCCAUGCCGCGUGUGUGAAGAAGGCCUUUUGGUUGUAAAGCACUUUAAGCAGGGAGGAGAGGCUAAUGGUUAAUACCCAUUAGAUUAGACGUUACCUGCAGAAUAAGCACCGGCUAACUCUGUGCCAGCAGCCGCGGUAAUACAGAGGGUGCGAGCGUUAAUCGGAAUUACUGGGCGUAAAGCGAGUGUAGGUGGCUCAUUAAGUCACAUGUGAAAUCCCCGGGCUUAACCUGGGAACUGCAUGUGAUACUGGUGGUGCUAGAAUAUGUGAGAGGGAAGUAGAAUUCCAGGUGUAGCGGUGAAAUGCGUAGAGAUCUGGAGGAAUACCGAUGGCGAAGGCAGCUUCCUGGCAUAAUAUUGACACUGAGAUUCGAAAGCGUGGGUAGCAAACAGGAUUAGAUACCCUGGUAGUCCACGCCGUAAACGAUGUCUACUAGCCGUUGGGGUCCUUGAGACUUUAGUGGCGCAGUUAACGCGAUAAGUAGACCGCCUGGGGAGUACGGCCGCAAGGUUAAAACUCAAAUGAAUUGACGGGGGCCCGCACAAGCGGUGGAGCAUGUGGUUUAAUUCGAUGCAACGCGAAGAACCUUACCUGGUCUUGACAUAGUGAGAAUCCUGCAGAGAUGCGGGAGUGCCUUCGGGAAUUCACAUACAGGUGCUGCAUGGCUGUCGUCAGCUCGUGUCGUGAGAUGUUGGGUUAAGUCCCGCAACGAGCGCAACCCUUUUCCUUAUUUGCCAGCGGGUUAAGCCGGGAACUUUAAGGAUACUGCCAGUGACAAACUGGAGGAAGGCGGGGACGACGUCAAGUCAUCAUGGCCCUUGCGACCAGGGCUACACACGUGCUACAAUGGUAGGUACAGAGGGUUGCUACACAGCGAUGUGAUGCUAAUCUCAAAAAGCCUAUCGUAGUCCGGAUUGGAGUCUGCAACUCGACUCCAUGAAGUCGGAAUCGCUAGUAAUCGCAGAUCAGAAUGCUGCGGUGAAUACGUUCCCGGGCCU